AGGUUGAUCCUCUUGCCAAGCUCUCGUUCAACUUGUCCUUAACGGAAACAGAGAAGGAAGCUCGUAGCCAAGUGAAAUUACCAUACAUUAAAGAUAUUGAAACUGAGAUAUCAAGUCGCAUAAUUUACCAGCCAGAUGAAGCAGAUGAUAUUGAUGAUGAAGACCCAGACGAAGAUCUAGAUAUUUAAUUUUUUCCAAGCAUUAAAGAAAUUUAUCUAA
rnacentral:sRNA from 1 species